UCGCUGCUUUCAGUGCCAUUGCUGGUGCUCCUGCUGCUAUCAGCCGUUAGGCAAGGCCAAGACUCAGUUUCGAUUCGGAUGCAGAUGCAAACGGACGCGUGCGCCUGUCUCUCCAGCAAAAGAAACAGUUAGCCAAAAGAUAACACGCAAUUUGAUCGUUUUUAAAAGAGAGAAACUUUCAAAUCAAAUUUUCUUCGAAAAUAGAUUGGAAAAUCAAGAGAAACGCUAGAAACUUGAAAAACAUGAAGACAGAAAAAAGUUCAAUUGCAUUGAAGUAAAGAAAACGCGCAAUGUUAUAUAUAUAUUUUUUUCAAGUAAUUUUUGUUGUUGUUUUGUAAGGUGAGAAAAAUAUUGAAAAAAAAAGAAGCGAAUUCGGCGAGAGAGAAAGUAAAAGAAAGUUUUGUGUGUGUUGCGGGACGGAAAUGAAGGAUGUCAGUUGUGUGCACAUCGAAGAAAGCAACGGAAAUUAAAAUUUGCAUGUGCAGCAGGACACAGGACAGAGGCGGACACCAGCGGACCGAGGGCUGCCGUGGGGCAGCGGCCAGAGAAUGUGGCCAAAGGACUGCAGCGGCUGCAGCAGCUGCAGCUGCUGUUGUUCAGCUAGCCAAGGCUCGAUGAAGCUGGCUAACGAAUUCGCCACUCAAAAACUCAGCUCGAUGCGAUUUUUUUGAAU